rnacentral:lncRNA from 1 species
GCACCCUGCUUUUUGUGGCACCCAUCCUGCCUGCGGUGCUGCAGUUCCUCUCGCCCCUCGCCGCCCCAUGCCGCACGCCUCCAGGCUGAGCGCUCCUGUUGCCAAUCCCCCUGCUUCCAAGGCUUUGCGAGGCAUUAUAGAUUAAAGAGCUCCGAUCCUGAUGACACAGAAAGUUUCCUGGUGUCACGGAUCAGCUUUGUGCUGGCAGCACGAGGAAAAGGAGAGCACCGUGUGUGCGUAAAAGGCUCAGGGUGGGCAGCGGGGCACGGGCAGCAAGGAGCAGGGGUUGGCACCAGCAGAUCGGUGAUGUCCAUGGCUAGAACAGCACCGGCUGCUCAGGAGGGCUCCAUCAGACAGCAGCAGGACGCAGGCACUGCCGCUGCUGCUCCCAAGUGCUGAUAAGGCAAAUUACAGGGCUGCGAGGCGCGUGGAGCUAACGAGCGGCUGCACGGCUGCGGUGCACCAGGGGCUGGCAUCGCCUCCCUCCACAGCCCCUUGGAGAUCUGCCCGUGAUGGUUUGACGUGGUGUGGGGUGGCUGCUCCGUGCCCCUCACUGUCACCCAGAGCCCACAGGGCCCGUCCCCUCCUCGCUGCCCUGCUCCGGUGCGGGACCCUUGGGUGCUCUGCAGCACCAGAGGCCCCCGGUGCGGUGCUGCCUGCAGGGCCCUGUGGUGGUCCCGGGGCUUUUCUGCCAGCAGUUGCCCCAAGGCCACGGGGACCCUGGGACCUGGACCUCCAGAUGCCCCACGGUGACACAGGGCAGCUCUGCCAUGGCCAUGGGCACCCUGCAUCACCACCAGGAUGAUGUUCUCCUCAUCUUCCUCCUUGUCCUCAUCCUCGUCCUCCUCUUCCUCCACCGCUUCGUGCCCUGAAUCCGGGGAGCAUUGCAGCCCAUCUCUUGUAGGGGCCCAUGAAAAUAAGACUUUCUCCUCCUGAGCUCGUGUUUUCUUUUGCUGUGUCUGUUUCUGUGGUCAGAAAAGCUCAUUUAUACAUUUCCCCUGAUUCAUAUUGCCAGACCACGGGCUGGAGGGGCCUGCAAGGAGCAGAGCAACUGGAGCACAGCAGGGAAGUCGUCCUGCGGAGCCCAGCCCCUGCCGGAGCUCACUGGGGCUUCCUCGGGGGCAGCCACUUGAAUAACCCCCCCUGGAUGAGAUCUCGAACUGCUUCCUUAGGAACCCGGGCCACAAAGCGAUGCGCAAUGAACGGAGCCGGCUGGGAACAGAAAUCACUGCAAAUCAGAAUUUCUGGAACGAUUUCCUGUGCCUCCCCUGAGAGCUCACCUGGUGGGAGCAGCCUGUUCAAACAACCCCGUCGUCGUUUUUGAAGAAAGUGCGGAUUUAACACGAUUCACUUCAGUAAAAAACUUGACUUAGUGCCGUGGGACUUUUUGACUUGAAAACUUAGCAGCGUACAGUGCUAAUA